rnacentral:rRNA from 1 species
UGCCAGACUCCUACGGGAGGCAGCAGUGAGGAAUAUUGGUCAAUGGGCGCGAGCCUGAACCAGCCAAGUCGCGUGAGGGAAGACGGUCCUAUGGAUUGUAAACCUCUUUUGUCGGGGAGCAAAAGACGCCACGUGUGGCGUUCCGAGAGUACCCGAAGAAAAGGCAUCGGCUAACUCCGUGCCAGCAGCCGCGGUAAUACGGAGGAUCCGAGCGUUAUCCGGAUUUAUUGGGUUUAAAGGGAGCGUAGAUGGGUUGUUAAGUCAGUUGUGAAAGUUUGCGGCUCAACCGUAAAAUUGCAAUUGAUACUGGCAGCCUUGAGUACAGUUGAGGUAGGCGGAAUUCGUGGUGUAGCGGUGAAAUGCUUAGAUAUCACGAAGAACUCCGAUUGCGAAGGCAGCCUACUAAACUGCCACUGACAUUGAUGCUCGAAAGUGUGGGUAUCAAACAGGAUUAGAUACCCGUGUAUCC